AAAGCAUUCCACCAUAAAAUCAAUCUGUGAUGGCUGUUUUUUGUGUACGUCAAAAAAGCGUUGAACAUCUAGAAUGAAGUACCCAUGGGAGAUGUGCGCAGUAAGAGAGAGAAGUAGAAGGAGAUGCAAGUGCAGCUGUUUGGUGUCAAUCAUAAAUACCACCGUGAGCCACCGAUGAAUUAUU
ensembl:ncRNA F35G2.17 ncRNA